CUCAGUGAUAGAAGUUCACGGGACGCAGGAAAGUUGCGCGCAAAUGUUUGCCAGCGCAUGAGACCAGAGCAGAGCAGAGCACUGAACCUGGAGACCUGCACGCUUGGAACUGACCAUAGGCUUCAGUGAGGGUGCAGAGGAACAGGAGCGAGAGGAGAGAGAGUUUCUAUCUCGCUCUCUCAUCUGAGGUCUUUCUGCGGAUCGCUUCACAACGCAACCGCAGGAAAAUGUGCAGGAAAGUGACUUUAGCCUUACUCAUCUAUGGAAUCAUAAUGCAGCAAAGCGUCUCCUGCUCACCUGUGGGGUUUAGCUUUCCAAACGUUAGACUUGACAGUGAGAUUUAUGACGACGGAGGAAACUCCCUUCAGUCGUUGGACUACGGCAGAGAUGAACUGGAUGUGAGAAAUUCUCCGUCUGCCAACAACGGCCUCUACUCUCUUUAUUUUCCUCAAGAGAAAAGAAUGGAAAGACAUGCGGACGGCAUGUUUAAUAAAGCCUACAGGAAAGCGCUGGGUCAGUUAUCAGCAAGGAAAUAUCUGCAUUCUCUGAUGGCAAAACGUGUAGGUGGAGGGAAAACCAUGGACGACAGCUCAGAGCUUCUGACCAAGCGACACUCAGAUGGGAUCUUCACAGACAGCUACAGCCGCUAUCGGAAGCAGAUGGCGGUGAAGAAAUACCUGGCAGCCGUCCUCGGGAAAAGGUAUAGACAGAGAAUUAGAAACAAAGGACGCCGGCUGACGUAUUUGUAGCAUCCUUCCCAUCUGAAAAGAAAAUAAAUGUGUGAGCUACACCAGUCAUUUUGAGAUCUGAACAAACGCUUUCGUGUUCCAAACGUGUAUUUAUGUAUGAAGUAAGCCAUUACAAAUGAAUAUUUUGAUAUAAUACUGUUUUUAUUUUCUACUUAAAGCACUUCUGGUCGCACCUAUCGACUCGUGGACCAACUUCUUCUUUUGUUUAACGAAAGCCUUUAUUUGUGUACUUGACGAGAUUUAUUUCCCGAAGCAGGGAGACAGCUCUUACCAUGACGAUAAGAUCAGUCAGCCCUGUCUUUUUAACAUUUAGAGACAUGUCUGUGAGGAAAAUAAAUAGUCUGACAAUCAAUGUUUUGAAAUCUGCCACUCAUUUGUGUCAUUAAGAGUUUAGUUGUGUGUGUCCACAACAGCCCUGAAGACGUAGGUUUGCUCCAAAUCCUACAAGACAUAGACUUUGACGCCCUCCAGGACGUAGAUGAGUUUAUGGCUUUUUUGGGAGUUUGGCUGAAACAAUCCCACCCUGAAAUCCUGGCUUUGUGACGCAGGAAGUUUUCGGCUGCGGUGCCUUGCAUGGACUUAAUACUGGCCAUGAAUGACAGAUGGCUAUUUAGUGGCCCUACAAUGCUGCACAUCAUCAGCUCAAAUAUUUUGGUUGUUGCUUUGUUUUGUGUUGCAUUUUUUUUUCGUUGCGUUUUCAGUAAUGUAGGUUUGUGUGA